AUUACCGCGGCUGCUGGCACGUAGUUGGCCGGUGCUUCUUCUGCAGGUACCGUCACUUUCGCUUCGUCCCUGCUGAAAGAGGUUUACAACCCGAAGGGCCGUCAUCCCUCACGCGGCGUCGCUGCAUCAGGCUUUCGCCCAUUGUGCAAUAUUCCCCACUGCUGCCUCCCGUAGG
rnacentral:rRNA from 1 species